GUGGGGAAUAUUGGACAAUGGGCGAAAGCCUGAUCCAGCCAUGCCGCGUGUGUGAAGAAGGUCUUCGGAUUGUAAAGCACUUUAAGUUGGGAGGAAGGGCAGUAAGUUAAUACCUUGCUGUUUUGACGUUACCAACAGAAUAAGCACCGGCUAACUUCGUGCCAGCAGCCGCGGUAAUACGAAGGGUGCAAGCGUUAAUCGGAAUUACUGGGCGUAAAGCGCGCGUAGGUGGUUCAGCAAGUUGGAGGUGAAAUCCCCGGGCUCAACCUGGGAACUGCCUCCAAAACUGCAUGACUAGAGUACGGUAGAGGGUAGUGGAAUUUCCUGUGUAGCGGUGAAAUGCGUAGAUAUAGGAAGGAACACCAGUGGCGAAGGCGACUACCUGGACUGAUACUGACACUGAGGUGCGAAAGCGUGGGGAGCAAACAGGAUUAGAUACCCGAGUAGUCC
rnacentral:rRNA from 1 species